rnacentral:rRNA from 1 species
AUUGAACGCUGGCGGCAGGCUUAACACAUGCAAGUCGAACGAGUGGCGGACGGGUGAGUACUGCUUGGGAAUCUGGCUUAUGGAGGGGGAUAACUACGGGAAACGGUAGCUAAUACCGCGUACCAUAGGAUGUGCCCAAGUGGGACUAGGUAGUGGGGGAGGUAAAGGCUCACCAAGCCGACAGUCCCUAGCUGGUCUGAGAGGAUGACCAGCCACACCGGAACUGAGACACGGCACGGACUCCUUCGGGAGGCAGCAUUGGCGUAUAUUGCGCAAUGGGGGCAACCUGACGCAGCCAUUCCUCGUGAAUGAAGAGGGCCUUCGGGUUGUAAAGUUCUUUCGGUCGCGAGGCGUUAACCACAGAAGAAGCACCGGCUAACUCCGUGCCAGCCGCCGCGGUAAUUC